rnacentral:lncRNA from 1 species
UCUAUCCAAAAACAAAUGCUUAAGAUCUUCCCAAUUGGCCCAGAAUUCUGGUGGAAGAUGAAUAAGCCACUCCCAUGCUGCGUCUUCUAAUGAACGCGGAAAUGCCCUUAAAAACAUGUGAUCAUCAGGGACAUGAAGAGGUUUCUUUGAAGAGCACAUGGUGUAGAACUCCUCCAAAUGUCUAUGUGGGCAUUCACCUACAAACCCAUGAAAUCUAGGCAGCAAAUCUGUAAGUCCAGAGGUGAGAACGCAAUGAACAUCAACCUCAUCAAGUGGAAUCGGCUCCCAAAGAGCACUCUCAAGACGGGAA